AAUUGGAGGGCAAGUCUGGUGCCAGCAGCCGCGGUAAUUCCAGCUCCAAUAGCGUAUAUUAAAGUUGUUGCAGUUAAAAAGCUCGUAGUUGAAUUUCGGGAUCAAUAUUUCGGUCAUGCCGUUGGUAUGCACUGUUAUCAUUGAUUUCUCACCUUCUAAAGAACCGUAAUGCCAUUAAUUUGGUGUUACGGGGAAUUAGGACUGUUGCCUUGAAAAAAUUAGAGUGUUUAAAGCAGGCUCACGCUUGAAUACAUUAGCAUGGAAUAAUGAAAUAGGACAUCCGAUUCUAUUUUGUUGGUUUCUAGGAUCGAUGUAAUGAUUAAUAGGGAUAGUUGGGGGCAUUAGUAUUCAAUUGUCAGAGGUGAAAUUCUUGGAUUUAUUGAAGACUAACUACUGCGAAAGCAUUUGCCAAGGAUGUUUUCAUUAAUCAAGAACGAAAGUUAGGGGAUCGAAGACGAUCAGAUACCGUCGUAGUCUUAACCAUAAACUAUGCCGACUAGGGAUCGGAUGAUGUUAAUUUUUUAAUGACUCAUUCGGCGCCUUACGGGAAACCAAAGUGU
rnacentral:rRNA from 1 species